UACAGAGGUCUCAAGCGUUGUUCGGAUUCAUUGGGCGUAAAGGGUGCGUAGGCGGCGCGGUAAGUCGGGUGUGAAAUCUCGGAGCUUAACUCCGAAACUGCAUUCGAUACUACCGUGCUUGAGGACUGGAGAGGAGACUGGAAUUUACGGUGUAGCGGUGAAAUGCGUAGAUAUCGUAAGGAAGACCAGUGGCGAAGGCGGGUCUCUGGACAGUUCCUGACGCUGAGACGCGAAAGCGUGGGGAGCGAACAGG
rnacentral:rRNA from 1 species